rnacentral:rRNA from 1 species
CCUACGGGUGGCAGCAGUGGGGAAUAUUGGACAGUGGGGGCAACCCUGAUCCAGCCAUGCCGCGUGUGUGAAGAAGGCCCUCGGGUUGUAAAGCACUUUCAGUGAGGAAGAACGCCUGGUGGUUAAUACCCAUCAGGAAAGACAUCACUCACAGAAGAAGCACCGGCUAACUCCGUGCCAGCAGCCGCGGUAAUACGGAGGGUGCGAGCGUUAAUCGGAAUUACUGGGCGUAAAGCGCGCGUAGGUGGCUUGAUAAGCCGGUUGUGAAAGCCCCGGGCUCAACCUGGGAACGGCAUCCGGAACUGUCAAGCUAGAGUGCAGGAGAGGAAGGUAGAAUUCCCGGUGUAGCGGUGAAAUGCGUAGAGAUCGGGAGGAAUACCAGUGGCGAAGGCGGCCUUCUGGACUGACACUGACACUGAGGUGCGAAAGCGUGGGUAGCAAACAGGAUUAGAUACCCUGGUAGUC